UACGUAGGGUGCAAGCGUUAUUCGGAAUUACUGGGCGUAAAGCGCGCGCAGGCGGUGAUGUAAGUCAGAUGUGAAAUCCCCGGGCUCAACCUGGGAACUGCAUUUGUGACUGCAUCGCUGGAGUGCGGCAGAGGGGGAUGGAAUUCCGCGUGUAGCAGUGAAAUGCGUAGAUAUGCGGAGGAACACCGAUGGCGAAGGCGAUCCCCUGGGCCUGCACUGACGCUCAUGCACGAAAGCGUGGGGAGCAAACAGG
rnacentral:rRNA from 1 species